rnacentral:rRNA from 1 species
AGCCACAGGAAGAUAUUUGUGGUUUAACCUGCCCAAUGUAUAGAAAUUUAUUAAUGGCCGCGGUACCCUGACCGUGCUAAGGUAGCGUAAUUAGUUGGCUUUUAAAUGGAGUCAGGUAUGAAUGAGAUAACUGGGUUUAGCUGUCUCGGAGUUGGUUUAUUGAAUUUACUUUUCAAGUGAAAAAGCUUGGUUAAAUAAAAAGGACGAUAAGACCCUUAGAAUUUUAUUUAAAAUACUAAUCUAUUGGUGUUGUGAUUUAGUUGGGGCGACAAGGGAAUAUUUAGAACUUCCCUUAUUAUACUAGCCGGAUUUUUCAAGUAAGUAUAAAUUACCUAAGGGAUAACAGCAUAAUUCUAUAAAUGAGUUUGUGACCUCGAUGUUGGACUAGGAAGCUAGCAGGCUAGACGCUUGUUGUGCGGAUUCUGUUCGAAUUUUAACUCCU